UGACAAGUCGAAAUUGGAAGAAGGGAUCAACGUGGCUGAUGUAAGGAAGCUGAAUGACGGAGUGAGUGCAAGACUAAGAGAUUUCAAUUUUGGUGUGGAAGAAGCACCCAAAAUGGAGUCUCUAGAACUGCAGGAACUUCUAAUUAUCAGGGAGAAAUUGGCAUUUAUGGAGAUUCGAAUUGGAUAUGUACUGAUAGCUAUUUCGUUCAUUAUUUUGUUAUUGAUUGUAAUGUUGUCUCAGAAUCUAUACUAAACGGCAGG
rnacentral:lncRNA from 1 species